UGCCACACUUACCUGUGUGUUACUUUGCAUCCCAGGUCUAAAACAGGUCAUGGAUCAAUCAGCAAAAAAUAAGGAGCAAAGAACAAAUUCCAGGACACAAUGGAGGAUAAGAAGACAUACCAGGGCCCUCCACACCUCGGGGAACAACUAAGAGUUGGAAGGGCUCGAACUUUGCAGUUGGAGAACCUGAGAUUCAAAUCCUUUUCUGCCCCUUCAAGCUAUUCAGCUUGGCUAUAUUACCUCAUCUUUGAGCCACAGACCCUAACUGUACAAUGUUACUAGCUCAGCCUCAGGCCUUCUAAGUAUUACAAGGGACAGUGUCAGUCCCCAACAAGCACUCCUUACAUCUGAGUCCCCUCCUUUUGCUGUCCAGGUUCUGUCUCUGAAGCUCCCCUUCCCUUCCUGGUCCUUCUAUGCUCUUGGCAGAAACCCCAAAUCCUUUAAGGCCAGGCCCCAAGACUAAGGAAACAGACAUCGUAUGAUCAAUCUCUAUUCCCCAACAAAAAAAGGGCUCAGUAGGUAGAAUUUUUUGCUUUUUAUUUGGACAUGGGAUUUUCCAUUUUGUAUAACUUAUCUAAUUAAAAUAUUCAUCUUGUAGUUACCACAAAAAAGUAACAUAGAAAACUGUAUUUACAUUUUGGGACCAAAAUACAAAUGAAGAGCAGGACAAUGCUUGUUCCUGCCCCUGCCUCCAAAAGAGAAGAAAGCCCCAGAGAACCCCUCGUUAGACCAAGGAUUACAAAGGGCUAAUCUGAUUUGGUGAUUUGUAUGUAGUGUAGCACAGAAAAAAUUGCACAGGUUUUCACAAAUGCAACCAAAAGUUGAACAUCAUUGUGUGUCCGCUUUGCAGCCAUUUCACAGCUGGUGAGGAGUUUGUGGAGACAUUCAGCUUUCUCGGCUCCCUUACCCUUCUCACUAAUCACAUCCCUGAUGCAGACACUUGUGGAGGGGGACAGAGGAAGAUCUGGCUCUAUACAAACAGGUUCAUCACAAAUUUUUAUGUGCCCAAACAGGAUACUAACACUGGGAUGAACAAAUGUGUCCUUUCUUCCCCUCCCACCUAAGGACCUAAUAAGGAGACCUAAGUCGUACACAACUGAAUCUGCAAUAUGAAAAACUGCUUAAAUGGCAAAGUCUUAGAAACAUAGCUAAGGCAUAAGUCCCAGGUGGUGGACACCUAGAGGCAACAGGUACCUGGCUCCUGAUGCGACUGUCCACUUGAUUUCAGGUAAGAGGCUUUCUGAUGUUAGAUUUGGGGGUCAGGCUAAGAGAUAGAGGUGGUAAGGUGAAACAAGCAAUCAAGAGAAACAGUGCUUUACCCAAUUUAAAAAAUACAGCAAAUUAAAACUCAGCAACACCAUGUCUGUCCUGUGGCAACAGGCAUCCCACCCAGCAAGGCAUGGUAAGGUCUGCCGAGCUUCAGCUGUUGUGAGCUCCCUGUACUGCCCGAGUCUUCAACAUUAGCCUAACUGAAGUCUCCAGGAUGGUUAAAACAGUGUGGGCAGGACCAAUGGCUCAGCUUAGCAGGCUGUCUGUCUGUCAUCCCCUCUGUCUGCUCUAUUGGUUUCUUAAGGAUGCACAUCUCGAGUUCGUACAUCUUUCCACCUGGCUCAUAAGCAGGUGGGUCCUACCAGCUCCAUGUUCUUUGACAGCCCGGAGGAGCUGGCACUACUCUCUAGUUCUGAUCUUGCCCACAUGUCAACUGGAAAGCAAGAGUCUACCUUCAAGAACUGGAUGGCUGGCUGGAGCAAGGUUCCCCCAUCAUGACGCAGAACUCAGCCCCUUCCCAAGGUGGCCCUUUCCUCCUAACUCUGUCCUACACAUUCAGAAGGUAGAGGGCUUUUGCUGCAAGUUCUCUGCCAGACACAGCAGCCUGCUGUGCUCUUCCAGUCACAUAAUCUUUCCUUUCAAACAAAAGGCAAAAACAAAAGCAAUUUCUAACAGAACACUACAACUUUAAAAAUCACUCACUCCUAGUAGUAUUUUAUAGGGAACAGGAGAUCAAAGUGCUGGCACAUUCAGAGCUGUCACAUGCAGAGCUCUAAAAAGCCCUGCCAUUGUUUCCCCCAUGGUGGUGAGAAGGAAAGAUAAGGUGGGGGGAGGGGUGGCAUCUAAUAUAUUGAACCAGAAAGGAGAAAUUAUAAAAUUGCUGAGGUCCUAUGCAAACUGAUCUCUCAAGGUUCUGUCCUCUAGUUAGCCUUUCAAACGGGAGAGGAGUGUUGGCUUGCAGAGAGGAAGGGCUCUAGACUUCACAAAUAGCCCCCUAAUAAAUACUUUUAAGGAGAAGAAAGAGAUGCCUCUGCCCAGCAACUCUGGGAUCUCAGAGUGGGACCCCCUGAACAGUUGCCAUGUGGGGCUCCCCUCGAGGAUGGGCAGUCUGGCACUCAUUCCUGGCACUCCCUACUCUGGAGCACCACACAGGCUCCGGGAUGCACUUCUGGAUCAGAGUUUACUCAGAAGAACUAACCUUGGAGAGGAAUAGCUUUUUUUAAGCUUUCAUCUAACAAAGGACCUGAAAAGUAAAAG